GGUGGUUCUCAGGUGAUGAACCCCAGAAUCAGGCUCCCUCCUCUCUGGUUCCGGGUGUGCCACCCGAGAACCACA
rfam:Myotis davidii contig225476, whole genome shotgun sequence.